CGGGAUGUAGCCUAGUUGGUAAGGCGCGUGAUUUGGGAUCACGAAAUCGCAGGUUCAAGUCCUGUCAUUCCGA
rnacentral:tRNA from 1 species